AGAAAACGCGUGAUUUUCGUUAAAUGUUGGAUUCUUGAAGAGAAAACGCGUGAUUUUCGCUUAAAUGGGGGAUUUGAGAAAAGAAAACGCGUGAUUUUCGGGUUAAAUGGGGGAUUCCUGAAGAGAAAACGCGUGAUUUUUGCUUUAAUGGCGGAUUUGUGAAGAGAAAACGGUGGUUUUUCGCUUAAAUGGGGGAUUUGCAAAUUGAAAAUGUGCGAUUUUCGGGUUAAAUGGGGAUUUUCGAAGAGAAAACACGUGUUUUCCACAUAAAUGGGGGAUUUGCGAAGAGAAAACACGUGAUUUUCGCAUAAAUGGGGGAUUUGAGAAGAGAAAAUGCGUGUUUUUCGCUUAAAUGUUGGAUUCUCGAAGAGAAAACGCGUGAUUUUCACUUAAAUGGGGGAUUUGCGAAGAGAAAACGCGUGAUUUUCAAGUUUAAAUGGGGGAUUUCCGAAGAGAAAAUGCGUGAUUUUCGCUUAAAUGGUGUAUUUGAGAAGAGAAAAUUCGUGAUUUUCGCAUAAAUGGGGGAUUUCGAAGAGAAAAGCCUUG
ensembl:lncRNA